rnacentral:rRNA from 1 species
UACGAAGGGUGCAAACGUUUGCUCGGAAUUAUUGGGCGUAAAGCGCACGUAGGCGGCUUUUGCAAGUCCCAUGUGAAAUCCCACGGCUCAACCGUGGAAGUGCAUGGGAAACUGCAGAGCUUGAGUACUUAAGAGGAUCGCGGAAUUCCCGGUGUAGAGGUGAAAUUCGUAGAUAUCGGGAGGAACACCAGUGGCGAAGGCGGCGAUCUGGGAAGAUACUGACGCUGAGGUGCGAAAGCGUGGGAGCAAACGGGG